CAGCAUUUCAGCUUCUUGCCAUCUCUCCUAAUCAAGAGGAAUUUUCCUCUUGGAAUAAGGCAGAGAUAAUCAGGCUUCGGGGGUCUUGUGAGAAUGAUGCCUUAGGACACAGCUGCCUCAUUCCCCAUGCCAGCACAUUCUGGAAAGGGAUGGAAGAUUCUUUGUGGGCCUUGAGGUGGACUGUGACCUUGGAGUCAUGCUGAGUCACCGGCUGUAACCACUGAGACACAGUGGUGAAGAUGAUCUGCAGACUAUAUAGUACAAGAGGCUCCAGGAGUCUAACAGAGCUUAAUGUAGAUCAAGCUCAGAACAAGUGCCCGCCUAGGACCCUGAGAACCUGGAGCUGUGAAUGAACCUGGGAUUGAGAAGAUGGACACCUGCUCAGGCCAUUGUCGUCAGGCUUUGCCUGUCUCACACUGCCCAUGCCAGAGACCAGACAAGGAACAGACAGCUAGGAGCAAACCUAACACCUCAGGGGCCACCUUUACCAUGAAGCUCUCCCUGCCCUGGUGGCUAAGAUUAGUCCUCAAGAGGAACCACGAUCCAGGGAGCUGAGCUCCUGAGCUCGGCGGGCAGCAUCCUGAAGCAGAGAGAGAGAACUUAGGAUGAAAUUCCUGGGCAGAAGCCACCAAGCCUCCUCGGUCCUCCUGCCCCUCUGCACACUCUUGCAAACAGCAUGGCUUCUCUGCCAGGAACACAAAGAGAGCCAUCACUGGGAGGCAGGGACCAUCUGAAUACAGCACUCAAACUCACGGCAGUUACUCCUGGACCACUGCCCAGAGCAAUCUGUGAAGCCUCAAUACCCUAGAAAUGCUUGGAUGCUAGCACCCAUCCACUUCUCUUUAAAUAACCUGAGUGACACUUCCUGAGUGCUAAGGGCCGGACACCAAUUCAGCUGCUAAGAUAAACCCUGACUGAAGUUCAGUCUUGCUUCACCUUCAAGAACUUAAUUCUAACUACAUAAAAAUCAUGUUCUCCAUCCUCCCUGCCAGGCUGGAGUACAGGCACCUGCACCACCAAGGAUAUGUGGGCUGACUAGCUUGGUUCCGAAGCAUAGAGCUGAUCUGGAAGUGCCAUAUGGUCUUCCUUGGUAGGCUGACCCAGAAGCUCCAACAUGGAUCCACACAUAGCUUCCCAGUUCCUCUUUAGACUCCACUGUCCCAGACCUUUUGUGAUCUAGGAUCAGCCUCUGAAAUACAGUCUAUAUGCCCA
rnacentral:lncRNA from 1 species